CUUGUUGCUUCGGUGCGCCCGCCUCACGGCCGCCGGGGGGCUUCUGCCCCCGGGUCCGCGCGCACCGGAGACACUAUUGAACUCUGUCUGAAGAUUGCAGUCUGAGCAUAAACUAAAUAAGUUAAAACUUUCAACAACGGAUCUCUUGGUUCCGGCAUCGAUGAAGAACGCAGCGAAAUGCGAUAACUAAUGUGAAUUGCAGAAUUCAGUGAAUCAUCGAGUCUUUGAACGCACAUUGCGCCCCCUGGUAUUCCGGGGGGCAUGCCUGUCCGAGCGUCAUUGCUGCCCUCAAGCACGGCUUGUGUGUUGGGCUCCGUCCCCCCGGGGACGGGUCCGAAAGGCAGCGGCGGCACCGAGUCCGGUCCUCGAGCGUAUGGGGCUUUGUCACCCGCUCUGUAGGCCCGGCCGGCGCCAGCCGACAACCAAUCAUCCUUUUUUCAGGAUGACCUCGGAUCAGGUAGGGAUAUCC
rnacentral:rRNA from 1 species